GAGGAUAUAGCUCAAUGGUAGAGUGUGUGCUUGGCAUGCACGAGGUCCUGGGUUCAAUCCCCAUUACCUCU
rnacentral:tRNA from 1 species